UUGCGUCUCUAUUUGGGACAUGUAUUUCGUAUACUUCGUUAUCAUGCAUUCUUCUCGCCCACCAAUAUGUAUAUUCAUGGUCACUGACGAAGUAAGAAUAUGUUGCUGUAACACGUGCGACAAGUCUUAAAUAAAAAGAAAAGCAACACAGGGGCAAGUUCAUCAAGGGCACGCUGAAUAAUCCGUCCAUCGAGAUGACGUUGCCCACGAGGAAUUUGCUGAGAUGGGCAAGCGAUCCUAGAGUCUGGCGCACAUAAUUGCGUUCACGUGUUCAGCGAUGAACGCAUGCGGUAUAUUUAAGCGCGUUUAGGUCGGCUGUGCACUACUCGCACCGUUUACCGGCCCCGAUCACCUCCGCUACCAUGAACAGCACACUGACACUCCUAAUCUUCGCCGUGAUGAUCGGUCUCGCCUUGGCUGGGGGACACUACGGUGGCAACGGAGGCUACAAUGCCGGCCACUCUGGCUACGGAGGAGGUUACGGCAAGGGUCAAAGCGGACAGUAUGGUAGCGGCUACGGAAGCGGCCAUGGCGGAUAUGGCGGAGGUUAUGCCAUGCCGCAAGGCGGACACUACGGCGGCGGCUACGGCAAGGGUCAUGGUGGAUACCAGCCCAGCUACGGAUACGGCGGUCAGGGUAGUGGAAAGAACUACGGCGGUGGUGGCUACGGCGGCGGUCAUCACGGAGGAUAUGGUCAUGGUCACUACUGAGAAUUCGCCGUACAAUUCAUAACCCAAAUGCUACCUACAAAUCCUGAAUAAAGUUGGUUUUCACUGGAA